UACGUAGGUGGCAAGCGUUGUCCGGAUUUACUGGGCGUAAAGGGCGCGUAGGCGGCCUGGCGCGUCGGCUGUGAAAUCUCCCGGCUCAACUGGGAGGGGACGGCCGAUACGGCUGGGCUUGAGCGAGGUAGGGGAGAGUGGAAUUCCCGGUGUAGUGGUGGAAUGCGUAGAUAUCGGGAGGAACACCAGUGGCGAAGGCGGCUCACUGGCCCGGUACUGACGCUGAGGUGCGAAAGCGUGGGGAGCAAACAGG
rnacentral:rRNA from 1 species